rnacentral:lncRNA from 10 species
CCACUAGAAGGUAAGCCGCAUGAAAGAGAAGUUGACCUUGUGCACCACUGUAUCUCCAGCACCUCAACCAAAUCAAUGCCUGACACUUAGCACGUGCUCAGUAAUACUAUCCGAGUGAAUGAAAGAAUUAAGUAGUAUAGGCCGGGCGCGGUGGCUCACGCCUGUAAUCCCAGCACCAUGGGAGGCUGAGGUGGGUGGAUCACGAGGUCAGGAG